AUAACUUUAGCAUUAUAUAUACUAAAAUUGGAAUGAUACAGAGAAGGUUAGCAUGGCCCCUGUGCAAGGAUGCCAUGAAAAUUCAUGACACAUGACAUAUAUUU
ensembl:snRNA U6 U6 spliceosomal RNA